GACGUCUACGAGUUUGAUCAUGGCUCAGAUUGAACGCUGGCGGCAUGCCUAACACAUGCAAGUCGAACGGCAGCACGGGAGCUUGCUCCUGGCGGCGACCGGCGCACGGGUGCGUAACACGUAUGGAACUUACCCUUUACUGGGAGAUAGCCCGGAGAAAUCCGGAUUAAUAUCCCAUAAUAAACGAAGUGGCAUCACUUUGUUUUGAAAGCUCCGGCGGUAAAGGAUGGCCAUGCGCACGAUUAGCUAGUAGGUGAGGUAACGGCUCACCUAGGCUACGAUCGUUAGGGGGCCUGAGAGGGUUAUCCCCCACACUGGUACUGAGACACGGACCAGACUCCUACGGGAGGCAGCAGUGAGGAAUAUUGCGCAAUGGAGGCAACUCUGACGCAGCCAUGCCGCGUGCAGGAAGAAGGCGCUACGCGUUGUAAACUGCUUUUAACCGGGAAGAAACCCUCCGACGUGUCGGAGGUUGACGGUACCGGAGGAAUAAGCACCGGCUAACUUCGUG
rnacentral:rRNA from 1 species